rnacentral:rRNA from 2 species
GAUUGAAGGGGGCUGCUCCUAGUACGAGAGGACCGGAGUGGACGAACCUCUGGUGUUCGGGUUGUCAUGCCAAUGGCAUUGCCCGGUAGCUAAGUUCGGAAUCGAUAAGCGCUGAAAGCAUCUAAGCGCGAAGCGAGCCCUGAGAUGAGUCUUCCCUGGCACUUUAAGUGUCCUAAAGGGUUGUUCGAGACUAGAACGUUGAUAGGCAGGGUGUGUAAGUGCUGUGAGGCAUUGAGCUAACCUGUACUAAUUGCCCGUGAGGCUUAACCAUACAACACCCAAGGGGUUU